rnacentral:rRNA from 1 species
UAGGGAAUCUUCCACAAUGGACGCAAGUCUGAUGGAGCAACGCCGCGUGAGUGAAGAAGGUUUUCGGAUCGUAAGCUCUGUUGUUGGUGAAGAAGGAUAGAGGCAGUAACUGGUCUUUAUUUGACGGUAAUCAACCAGAAAGUCACGGCUAACUACGUGCCAC